GUGAACGCUGGCGGUAGGCCUAACACAUGCAAGUCGAACGGCAGCACAGUAAGAGCUUGCUCUUACGGGUGGCGAGUGGCGGACGGGUGAGGAAUACAUCGGAAUCUACUUUUUCGUGGGGGAUAACGUAGGGAAACUUACGCUAAUACCGCAUACGACCUACGGGUGAAAGCAGGUGAUCUUCGGACCUUGCGCGAUUGAAUGAGCCGAUGUCGGAUUAGCUAGUUGGCGGGGUAAAGGCCCACCAAGGCGACGAUCCGUAGCUGGUCUGAGAGGAUGAUCAGCCACACUGGAACUGAGACACGGUCCAGACUCCUACGGGAGGCAGCAGUGGGGAAUAUUGGACAAUGGGCGCAAGCCUGAUCCAGCCAUACCGCGUGGGUGAAGAAGGCCUUCGGGUUGUAAAGCCCUUUUGUUGGGAAAGAAAAGCAGCAGGUUAAUACCCCGCUGUUCUGACGGUACCCAAAGAAUAAGCACCGGCUAACUUCGUG
rnacentral:rRNA from 1 species